CCGCGAGUCACUUUCACCAGCUCUCACUCUUAUCCGCCUGCGCGCCCACCGCGCCGCCCACCCGCGCCCACCCCAGCGCCCCAAAUACCGCUCCAACCCUAGCCUCCCGCCACGCCUUUCGAUCUCGGGCGGCCAUGGGCAACUGCUGCCGCUCGCCGACCACCAUCGCGUGGGAGGACGUCAGCUCCUCGCACUUCCCCGCAUCCAACGCAAAGAAGAAGCCGCACCAAGCGCGGAACGGCGGCGGCGGCGACGGGCAGAAGCGGCUCUCGGUUCUGGCCGGGCGACGAGGGGUGCGAGGUCAUCGGGAUCGAUGACAAGUACGUCCUGGACAGGGAGCUCGACCGCGGGGAGUUCGGGGUGACAUACCUGUGUAUGGAUCGGGACACCAAGGAGCUGCUCGCCUGCAAGUCCAUCUCCAAGCGCAAGCUGCGGACGGCCAUCGACGUGGAGGACGUGCGCCGGGAGGUGGCCAUCAUGCGCCACCUGCCCAAGAGCCCGAGCGUCAUGUCCCUGCGGGAGGCGUGCGGGGACGAGGGCACCGUCCACCUCGUCAUGGAGCUCUGCGAGGGCGGCGAGCUCUUGGACCGCAUCGUCGCGCAGGGGCACUACACCGAGUGCGCCGCCGCCAAUGUCACCCGCACCAUCGUCGUGGUCGUCCAGCUCUGCCAUCGGCAUGACAUCAUCCACCGCGACCUCAAGCCGGAGAACAUCCUCUUCACCAAUAAGAAGGAGAACUCGCCACUCAUGGUCUCUCCAUCUUCUUCAAGCCUAGUGAGUCACACCAACCGAGAUCCUUUCCCAAUUUCGGACGAUUUUCUGCGCACUUCCGUGAUUUCUGGUUUUAGUGGGAGGAAAUUUGACGGUAGAGCUCAGAGUAGCAAAAUGUACUUCUUUUUUCCUGCAAUCCAUAAAACAUGUGGUUAUUACUAGCUCUGCAUCCCGGAAACAACUUGGUGGUUCUUUCAUAGGCAAUUGGCUAUUACUAGCUGCAAGAUAGUAUUUGGUAGUGAUCUGGUAGAUACUGUUAAUCUCCUUUUUUUCAGGAUAAUAUCUAGUGGUACUGACGAUAAUUUUCAGGACAUCGGUUCAACCGAGCUCUUUCUUCCCUAUUACAGAGCAUUUUGGUUUGAUGAAGAAUGAAAAUAUAUUGUGUUGGGCUUUGCCUGGUUGGUACAUCAAAGUCUUAGGAUGUUUGUGGUGUGGUACACACUUUUGGGAUUAUGAUGAACAAUUAGUGGUGCAUAAGGUGUGAAAUCUGUUUAGUAUCACAUUCAUUGUUAUCGAUACAUUAUUUCUUUGAUGCUGGAAGGUGAAUAUGUGACAAUGAGCACAGGUUCCGCUACUGUGUAGAAGUUAUAUAACACUGAAUUGUUAGUAUUUUGGAAUUCAGAGUGCAUGUGAUAUACAUUCUUACACUUGAAGAAUUAUAAUUAUAAAUUCAUGAAACAUUUAAUAGUAUUUACUCUAGGUAGAGUUCCCAAAUACAGCAUACGUAGUUACUUGAUUUGCAUCAACUUAUCCAGUGAGCUUAGUGGUUAGGAUUUGUGAUAUUGAUAAGUAAGAUAAAGUGGUACUAUAGUAUGAUACUGCUGUGGAUGUUUUCUUUUGUGACAGCGAACUCUUUAUAGAGGAUUCAUGUCAGGUGCUUCUUUUCUUGCCCAUUCUCUAUGUGCUUUUGGUAUUGGACCCCCACUCCCCCCAUCCCCGUACCCACCCACACAAAAAGAGCUAACUAAGAAUAGCCCAUGUGCCAUUUUGUCAUUUAGAUUUGCAUCUUAAAUGUUGAUUAUUUUAUGAAAUACUGUGUACACAACACGAGGACAGUCCACUCUGACUUAACUUACUGAGUCACUUGAGUAUUCAGCUCAUGGAGCAGAUUUAUAUGUCACCGUGCAAACUUUGUUUUAAAGAAAAAUGGUCUUAUGCUGCUGAAAACUUGUCGCUUAAGUUAUAUGUCGUAGAAAGAAAUUGGUACACUCAAAUACCAUCCAAAGUCUGCUCGGUUAUACUUUAUUACUCACGGUAAGGUCCCAUACUUGGAGGAGAUGAGAAAGAAGAAAGUUGAAAGAUGGGACCAAUUUGUUGAUGUCAUAGAGCAAAUUAAGAAGGUUGCAUCUGAAAUCAGGCCUGCAGAUUUUGUACCCUUUAGAAUUCAUGUGGAUCAGUCUGAUCAGUCUUUAAGAAAGCUGGAGGAGCUAACGAAAGAGCUGCAAUCCCUUCAGAAGGAGAAGAGUGAUCGGCUGAAGCAAGUCAUGGAACAUCUUAACACUUUGCAUUCGUUAUGCGAGGUGCUUGGUGUAGACUUCAAACAAACAGUAAAUGAGGUGCACCCUAGCCUGGGUGAGGCUGAUGAAUCAAAGAACCUAAGCAACUGUACAAUUGAAAGCCCUGCAUCAGCUACAAGCAGACUGCGUGAAUUGAAAGUCCAGAGGAUGCAAAAGCUUCAAGAUUUGGCCUCUAGCAUGCUUGAACUUUGGAAUCUCAUGGAUACACCACUUGAAGAACAGCAGAUGUUCCAGAAUGUAACGUGCAAUAUUGCUGCUUCUGAACAUGAAAUAACUGAGCCUAACACCCUCUCUAUUGACUUCCUCAGCUACGUGGAAUCUGAAGUUUUAAGACUCGAGCAACUUAAAGCGAGCAAGAUGAAAGACCUUGUUAUAAAAAAGAAGACAGAACUGGAAGAGCAUAGGAGACGUGCUCAUUUGUUUGGCGAGGAAGGCUAUGCAGCUGAAUUUCGCGAUGAGGCUAUUGAGUUGGAUGACACAAUCAUCAAAACCAUUGAGACUGCUCCCAACAAUGAACUGAAAAAAGCAAAAGAAAUCAUUCAACGUAUUCGCCGAAGAGAACUUUACAAGGCUGGAAAAAAGUUGCUUCUCAUUACUAAUUCAGAUUUCCAUUAUACAAACAAAAUGAUGAAUCAUGCAUUCAAUCGCUUUCUUCCUAAUGAUGUGGGAUGGAGAGAUCUGUUUGAAAUGGUUAUAGUCUCUACAAGGAAGCCAGAAUUUCUCCAGCUUUCACAUCCAUUGUAUGAGGUUGUAACAGAUGAUGGACUGAUGCAUCCCUGUUUUAAAGUAAAUUCAGUUUUGCAACCAGUAUUCUGUUCCAAAGGACAAACUAGAGCAUUUCAAAAAUAUUACUGCACAGGACAUAGUUUGUUCGCAGAAAUCUUCUGAGGUGCUGCUGAAGGAAGAGGAUGUUGCAGUAAGCAAUGUUAAGAUAGAUCUUACUCGUGGAAAAGAUAACCCCCUUGAAAGCAUCAAGUUCUUUAAGGAUUCCGGCUCUCAUCAAGUGACUCCUCCCCUCACGAUGACUUUGCGGACAGAUGUCUCAAUUCUAGUGGUGGAGCUACGAACAACAAUCCGAUGUCCUGAUCGAGAGCGAUGGAGCUAAUGUUUGAACUUGUGUUUGAACUUGUGAACUAUGGAUGUGAACUUGUGUGAAUUUGUGAACUUAUGUAUUUGAACUUAUGUGAAUUUGUGAACUUAUAUAUUUGGACUUGUGUGAAUUUGUGAUAUGAACAUAUAUCAAUGUGUUUGAAA